rnacentral:rRNA from 1 species
AUGAACGCUGGCGGCGUGCCUAAUACAUGCAAGUCGAGCGAACGGACGAGAAGCUUGCUUUUCUGAUGUUAGCGGCGGACGGGUGAGUAACACGUGGAUAACCUACCUAUAAGACUGGGAUAACUUCGGGAAACCGGAGCUAAUACCGGAUAAUAUUUUGAACCGCAUGGUUCAAAAGUGAAAGACGGUCUUGCUGUCACUUAUAGAUGGAUCCGCGCUGCAUUAGCUAGUUGGUAAGGUAACGGCUUACCAAGGCAACGAUGCAUAGCCGACCUGAGGGUGAUCGGCCACACUGGAACUGAGACACGGUCCAGACUCCUACGGGAGGCAGCAGUAGGGAAUCUUCCGCAAUGGGCGAAAGCCUGACGGAGCAACGCCGCGUGAGUGAUGAAGGUCUUCGGAUCGUAAAACUCUGUUAUUAGGGAAGAACAUAUGUGUAAGUAACUGUGCACAUCUUGACGGUACCUAAUCAGAAAGCCACGGCUAACUACGUG